rnacentral:tRNA from 1 species
UUCUUUAUAGUAUAAAAAGUAUAUGUAUUUUCCAAAUACUAGGUCUUAAUGUUAUAAAAUAAGUAAAGGUA